rnacentral:tRNA from 1 species
UUCAAGAGUGGCAGAAAAGUGCAAUGAACUUAAAAUUCAUUAAUAAACAAAAUUUCCUUGAAA